CCCCUGUAUUACCUCAGGUAGCAGAAAUACUGCUUAAAGCUUUGUGCCAAAGACCAUACCAGCUUUCUGCAAGGAAAUGAAGCUUUGCUCUCUGAGGGUCCAGUUUCACAUGGCCUGGGCAACCCUAGGAGAUAAGGACCGCCACAAACCUCAUCAUAUUCUGCUCCAAGUGCAAGAUGCUGGUGCUGAGCCUGCUUUGUCUCACUAAAUCAAGAGAAGACCAUUCCCCAUGGUAGCUGGGAUCCACACUAGAGUGAACUGCUGCCUUUCAUCAGAUACACCUGCAACUGUCCCAGCCCCAUGCUUCCCACCAGUCUGGAGUAGUAUUUGGAGGAGCCUGGCAGUGUGGUCCUUCUGGUAGCUCCCAAGGAUUUUUAUGAUGUAUGGACCUCCAAAACCCUCUGGAGAACAUCGGCUGCGGAUAAAAGCAUCUGGAAGUUCCUACUGUGUUUUUAACCUUUUUUUUUCCUGGGUCACCUCGUGUCAUUUGGGAAGGAAACCUCUCUGUUCUGAGGAUUAUAGCAAACAGGUCACUUACUGGAAUACUUCCCCUUGCAUUUUCUCAAGAUGGAGCCAUUACUUUACCCCGCAGAAGGAUAUUUUUAAUUCUCCCAGAGCUUUUCAAGUACAGCAGUUCUCAUGUCCAGCAGGUCUUGGAUGACUGCAAAAAGGGCAGCAGAGGAGGAGUGUGUGGAAGGGAGGUCAGAUCCUGCCAGGGUUUCCUGGGAAAUGAGGUUUUGCAUCAGUGGGUUCAGUCUGCUGCUUCCUAUUAAAGUUAACGGUGUCUAUGGAUGGUUGAAUCACACACAUAUAAAAAGCUGCUCUCAGCGGUGGUUUGUAUCAUCUGUAUGUUUUUCUUGAGUAUCUUCUCGACACCCCCAUACCUUUGCCCUCCUCACAUACACGGAGCUGCCCUGACCUUGACUGUGUUUCCUGGGAAGCUUGAGGAUGUAACAAGGGGAAUUGAGGGACAUCAUCCAGAUGUGGUCUGUGGUGGGGGCCUGGGGAAGAGCAAAACUGGGGGGGUGGGGGAGGCAGAGAAGUCCUCUGGGAGCAGCUGGGCCAUUGGUGUCUCUGACAACACAGCAGGACCCAAGGGAGAGCCCCCAAAACGAUGACUGGGAGGGACUGUGGGAGGUCUCUAGUGCCACCAGCACUGGAGCAGGGCAGCUAGCACCUCCAGGGACAGAGACAUCCCCACCUCUCCAGGUGACCCCUUUCAACACUGCACCACCUUGCUCAUGGGGAAGCUUUCUAUGUGUCCUUUGUGACCACAACUUGUGGAUGUUUCUUUUUGUUACAUAGUCUGUCUCAGCUGUGAUGGGGUAGAUGUUGAAGGGCUUAGGAGGAAGCAGGGAGAGGUGUCCUUUGGACCAUUUGCUGGCAAGAAGCAAUGGCACUGUCAGGCAGCAAAUGUAUCUGCAGCAUGUCUUGCAGCGAAGUCUCCUUUGGGGAGAUGUUGUCCUUGUACAGGUCUUUUUCCUUAAUAAAUUUGGCCCUUUUGUAGUAAAAUGUGUUCACUUUCUGAAUUAUGAAGUUGCAUAUUGAAAACCAAUACGGAGUUAAAGGGAACCAAGGUCAAGAAGGAUUAAUUAUCACAACUGGGGCAUAUUCUGCCAACAUCCAGGUGCUCUGGGGGUAAUGUUUCUUAACCAUAACCCUGAGUUACAACUGCCUGCUCUAUUGCAAUGUGCAUCCAGACCAGUAUCACCUUGGAGAAGGUGGCAUGCAGGCGGGAGCUGAGAGGCUUGAGGGGUCCACAUCAAUAGAGCUGGCAGGUGCAUGCUGCCAGUGCACCGUCAUGGAGGGGGGGAUUAAAAAUCGACAGGAAAGCACACAAACCAAACUGCCAGACAACUGCAUGUAUUGUGUUUUCAUUUUUUUUUUUCCUUUUGUUCAAGUGUAUUUGCCUGAAUUUGUCAACUGGAUUCUCAAAACAAGAGGACUUGAGAGGUAUUUAACAGAAGUAGAUGGAGCUCAGCUGCGGAGGAAAGGGUUGCCCUUGUGUGUGGGGGGGGGUUAUUGCUCCAAGCAGGCAUGCUGGGAGCUGCUGACCUGGAAUGAGGUGGGUGAUUUGCUAUCUUGUUGUUCCUUGUGGUCACGACAGGGAGAGCUGAUGUUCCUGCAAAUUGGCCAUUCACAGUGACAUGCCAGGAAUACCUCCUUACUGGGUUGCAUCCUUCCGUGGGAAGGCAUCAGAUAUACAUUGUGAUGGGGAUUAACUCAUUAGACCUUACCAUAUAGAUAAUGCUUUACAAAUUAUCUUUUCCUGGGAAGAUUUCCUAUCUGGGCAUAGUCCCAAAGAGCAUAAAGUGGAUGGUUCUGGCUAUUUUAUGUUACUCCCAAGUGCCUUGGUAUUUUGGAUAAACAGCUGAAGCUGCAGUCCUUUCCUUGUGCUCUUCUUUGUGGUGAUGCCGCUGGUCUGGGCAGGGCUGCUGGACAGUUGAGCAGAGCCAGGUGGGGAUGUGGCAGAAUGGGCAUUCCUUGUGUCUGCCUGCUGGGAAGUCACGUACCACAUAGGUUAUCCAGGAAGAGAUGUCUUGACAAUGGGGGGAAAAUGGAUUGUCUUGCCAAAUUGAAUUUUCAUAUUUCUGUAACAAUUAUGCUUAAAAAAACCCCAAGCUUGAUGCAUCUUGGGAUUGAUUUUUGUGUGUUUUCUGAGAGUAUAAAUGAAGGCUUUUAAAGCAGUUUCAUUUUCCAAUCAGUAGAAGAACCCAAGCUUGAGUGUGGGGAACCCCAGUCAUGGUGUUGCCACAUACUUGUGGCCUCAGACAGGUCACACAGCUGGACCAAAAGUGUGUCUUCACAGUCAAAAUGCUGGCUUGCUUGGAGAUGUUGUACUGGUGUGACUGUGCCAGUUGGAGCUGGUAUUUGAUGGAUUUCACUGCUCCUGAAUGGCUGUGGUUAGGAUUCAGGUGAGGCUAGGUGUGAAAUCUUAAAAAGUGUUUUCCAAUGUAAGCUUCACUUACAUUCUGUAGGAAGAGGAGGAACAAAUGAUACUUCGGAGCAGCCUGUUCCUCCAUGAACCAUGGAAAGUUUCCAGACAGUUGGCUUACAUUAGAUACCUAACUCCUAGGCAGCUGAGGUUAGGGAGAGAGCAGUCCCACCUUUUAAUUUCUUGGUAUCUCUGUUGCUUUUAUGUAAAACGAGUUUAAUGAGUACUUGUUUCCCUGAAACAGAGGAUAAAUACAAAAUUUGGAGCUGCUGCCUGGCUACAGCAGCAGAUGGAUGAUUGCAUUUGGGAUAACAGGCUGAUCUUGGCCAUGGGUAGCAUCUUUGAAACUGUCAGCCAGGAGUUAAUGAACAUGAUUGGGUUUCUCCCGAUGAACCGAUGUGUUGAGGCUUUGAAAGCAAUUUUACUGCUGCAUGCCGCCAUAAACCUUUUUAUUUAAGAUGUUCCUUUCUUGAAGCUUCAAAUAGCACCCAAGUCAGAAUGAAAUAAAAUUCUGCAAGAGAGAUUAGGGCAGUUUUGCUUGAGGUUUCUGUUGUGGCCGCUAGCAGGAGGAAAAAAAGGAGGGUAGGAUAACCAAGGUCAGCACCUCACUUCAAGCUGUAGAGCUCCUCUGGGGGAGGGAGGGAUUGCGUUACCUCACACCUGUAAUUCAUCCCUUGUGCCCAUAACCAAAUAAUCCAGCAAAACAGCAGCAAAAAGGAUGGGACAGUUAGGAAAACUUUUUGCUGUAAACCGAGCUGGUCAAAUGAUGCUCAGAGCUGUGUUGGUGUCUUGGGCACAGGUGUCUCUUUGGAAAGCACUGUGGAGGGAUUCUACCCAAGGUUUUGCAAUAAAAGCCCUGAUGCCCAUUAAGUGUGGAGGUGAGUGUGCCUCUUUGGGUGUGCCAUGCUCACCCCCUGUCUUCAUGUGCGCCUGCUAGAGUCAUGUUCAUGGACUUAAUAACUGGGUAGAAGGACUCUUGACAGUGCCAACAUGCUUUGGGGGCAUAAAAGGAGCCAAAAUUAACCACAGGGUCAAGUUACAGAAGAAAAGCGGAGAUUCACGGUCAACUCCAACCUGAAGGAACCCAUGGAGCAAAGCGUCCACUUAAUGUGCCCAUCUUUUGGUCCUGGUUGGAAGAGGAUGUUCUCAUUGCAUGCACAUUCAUGGUCUUUUUUAUGAUGGCAUCUCUUUAAGGCCUCUGCAUAGUCAUGAUGGUAUCUACCAAGGACAUGGUCAUAAUGGUAUCAACCAAGGAGAUGGAGACCUGGUGUAUUGUGACCUUGUCAGUUUUAUGUAUUUGCCUAAUGUAAAUCACAGUGCAGCUGAAUUGAUUGGCUUUGUUGUAGGCAAGUAAAGUUUUCCAAGAAGCUCUAGAUUGAUGACCGAGAAGUUUGUAGAUUGAUGACCUGAAAACAGGCACAUAAAUGUGUGAUAUAUGUAGUGGGAAGGAUGGCUUGUUCCUUUGAGGCUGUUGGGUUUUUACUGGGAGAAUGCGAGGCUGAAAUUAUUACAGGUAGAUGUUCUGUGUACCUUGACUGCCAGUUUUGAGGUCAUCAGGUGAAGUAGGCAUUAAGCCAGAGCAGGAAACUGCCACCCCCAACAAGGGUCUUGUUGGGUGUGGUGUGACAAGGCAGACUGUAAACUGGAUUUUAGCUGGAUUUUACAUUAGGUUUCUGGGCUGAAGGAAGAGGCAGCUCUUGAUUUAAGGAGCAUUGCAGCUUGCCACCAAGAGGGCUAUGACUGAUCAGUGUUGAUGGUCCUCCAUCCUCUCAGCUGGGGUUAUUACUGGUGGGAUGAAAAAAUACCAUUUUCAUGCAAAGGAGGAGAUCUUACAGUGUGAUAGGGGCCACAGAGGUGCUCAAAUGUUGAGCCUGAGUUUUGUCACUAAAUAUCACCAUCAAUCAGCGAGAGCUCUGAAGAUGGUAAACGUUUCAGCAGUGUGAAGUUAUUGAAGGAGGGAAGACAUUCAACAUGAUUAGCUUAAUACUCACUCAAGCUGUAGGGAGUUUAGGUGAGUGUAUGGGCAUGAGCAAGCCUUCCAAAAUCGGUGUGGGUCCUAUCAGCCAAAGAGGGAUUUUCCCAGGUUGGUCCUUAUGUUCUUGAAGCGAGGCAGGUUGAAUGUCAUUGUAGCUGACUCUGCAGGAAGGCUCUGGCUGACACUGUGGCAACAACACUCAAAAUUAUGUAUUAUUCCCUUCACAGACAAAGCUAGAACAAGAAAAAUGUCUUGUGUCAACCUGGCCUUUGAAAUACAAAUGAGUAAGACCAGCCUCACUUAUAAAUGUCAUGGUGUGCUUUGUGCUCUUGCUUCGUAAUGUGCUUG